CAGUAGCCGCGGGAAUACGUAGGGUGCGAGCGUUAAUCGGAAUUACUGGGCGUAAAGCGUGCGCAGGCGGUUGUGUAAGACAGGUGUGAAAUCCCCGGGCUUAACCUGGGAACUGCGCUUGUGACUGCACAGCUAGAGUAUGGCAGAGGGGGGGGUGGAAUUCCACGUGUAGCAGUGAAAUGCGUAGAGAUGUGGAGGAACACCGAUGGCGAAGGCAGCCCCCUGGGCCAAUACUGACGCUCAUGCACGAAAGCGUGGGGAGCAAACAGGAUUAGAUACCCCCGUAGUCCCUGUCUCUUAU
rnacentral:rRNA from 1 species